UGUUUUCUCUCCCGCCCCUUUCUUCCUGGCGGCGGCGGCUAUCAGGAGUAGCAGGACGAGCCUGCAGCCGGCGGGGAGGAACGGUGAGCGGUGGUCAGUGCGUCCUCCCCGACGCACCGGGCCUGAUUGGAAAGCGGGGAAGCGGCUCUCGGACGCCGGCCGAGCUCCGCCUGAUCCACCUCACCGCUUUUGCCGGGGCCGCCCUCUACGUCUCCGGCCUCUUCGCCUUCCAAGGAAGAGUCGCAGGUGUGAUUUUGUCCUGCUAGGUUUCCGUGGUGAUGAGGUGGCGGUAGAUCGGAGCCAUGGCGGUGGUGGAGCACGAGGGCUGCAUGGAGAACCAUGCGACAUCGAGAUCCUCGGCCUCGGAAGAGAGCAGCCAUGUCAGUGCAGUCAGUGUCUAGGUCUAGCUCUUUGGUCAUAUUUAAUUUAGAUAGGGGUUAAAACCUUAUAAUUGCAGAGAUCUAAUUCCAUUGUCUGAUGAACAUGAUUGAGUGGACUGUGUGCUUUCAUAAAAUUUGUUUAUUAGCAUGUAAGGCCUCUUUCUAGACUCAUUGGAAUGUCAGUAAGUUAUUUGGCCAUCUUAUUUCCUCUAUAGUGUAGAGUUCUUUGUUGUGUAAUAUGUCAUGCCAAUAUUUUAGAGAUCUUAAACUUCAAAUAUAACACAUUUGUGUAUGCAGUUGUAGUAUCUCUUGUGUGAUCGAACAUAAGAGCACAUUUAUAACGUUGCUCAUCUAAAUGAAGUAUUCUGUCAUCUAUGCUCUUCUAUUGAUUCUUGAUCUUUGUGUUGAAGGGGAUGAGAAUAGUUCAAGGCCUGAUGACUUUGUAGAUUCUGUACCAAGUUCUCAACGUGAAGCUGCAAAAUUAUUCAACAUAAACACACUGUUGAUUGAGAAGUAUAUUACUCAACCCAGGCCAGCAGAGGUUCAGGUAUUUGGUGACAAACAUGGAAAUACUAUUCACCGUUAUGAGAGAGACUGCAGUCUAUAAAGAAGGAAUCAUAAGAUUAUCGAGGAAGCAUUGGCUGUAAGGCUUUAUUUCCUGUCAGUGCCCAGUCGAUGCCAAUGUCUUCGGUCAUGCAAGGGGAAUUCAUCAUGUACCUGAAUUUGCAGCCUCUUGUAGCAGUAUGACCGUUUAAGUUUUCAGUUUGGCAUUUAAUAGUGAUGGUUAGUUUUUCUUUGCAUGAUAUGACACUAUUUAGCAUUGUGCAUUCAUCCUCCUUUCUCAGUUACCAUGCAUAACUUAUCCAUGUGCUAAUUUUGAUUCACUGCCAGAUGUUCUCAUGGACAUAUUUUUACCUUCGCCAUAUUACCAUUCUAUAAUAGAACAUUACAGUUCAGUUCUCUCUUCAUUUGUUUUUUGCAGGAUGGGAUGCUUAACUUCAAAGAAACUUAGGAAAUAAUAUCACCUGAUGAUAUUGGUUUACGAUGUGCGAAUCAGCUUGGCUUUGUUCUUAGGAAGCUCAGGUACCAGUCAAAUAUAUCUUUGCCCCUUAGUGCAAAAUUAACUGGUUCUGGUCCAUCUAUCAGUGACACAAGGCUUGAGGCAUUGUAUACAUUGCAAGAAGCUGAUGUUUGAUUCACCCCUUAUACUACUUUGUUAAUAUCUUUCCUUCUAAACCUAUGUGCUUAGGAACAAGGACUUUGUUUUGAUGGAACUAUAUUUACUUGUAUUGCAGUCCAUGUGAUCUGCUGCUUGAAAACUUCGAUCCAGUGUUGGGUAGUUGCUUCCUUAGAACUUAUCCCUUGGUUUAUUCUAAUUUAUUGUAACAAUCUAUUAUCUUAAAUCAAUGGGGUUAUUCCCUUUAAAAUGUUAUUAUGUACAAUUUAUUGUUUAUUCCAUUUCAUAAUUCACAAUGGUGAUAUUGAACUAUAUAUAUAGUUGAUCCAUGUUUAUAGGAUGCUACAUAUCUGAAAGCCUGCAUUGAAAAUAACAAUCUAAUCUUUACAUGGAUCAAGUAUAUUAUGAACCUGCCCGAUAGUGCAGCGCUACAACAUUGGAAGUUGAUGCACAUCACUUAGUGGCGAAGGCUACAGUAGGGUAACAUGAGCGCUGAGAACAAGGUUGUCUAUGUCAGCAUGUUAAUUUUGCCGCGUUAAUAAAUGAAUGAACUUUGGCUUUAUUAUUUCUAUACAGGGAUCUCUGCAAACAACCCAUUCUAAUUAGAGCUGGAGAAGGAGGAAUAUACAAUUAUCUAUAUCAUGUUAGACCAUCGUGUGAUGAGUCUACUCAAACAAUGGCUGAGACACUGUCCAGUGUCGACCACCGCAGCAGGUGGCAAUGAAAGCUGCGGGCUCGCCCUUCAUAUGAAAUCCAUUGUUUGUCCUUCUCUUGGAAAGCAACCAGAUGAUGGAUGCGCCAACACGGCAGAUGCCACCAACAUAUCCAGUCAAACCCCUCAGACUCCAGCUUUCCUGCCCAUGGCCUUGUUACAGUUUUUUGUGUAUGUUAUUAGCUUUCAGAUAUUUAUUCACUUCAGUAAUAAGAGAUUUUACUCUUAAAACGGAAUACAAUAUUUGCAUGAAAGGACAAUUGCUUAUGGUUCAUGAUGA